rnacentral:rRNA from 1 species
GACGAACGCUGGCGGCGUGCUUAACACAUGCAAGUCGAACGGAAAGGCCUGCUUUCCCUUGUGGAUUGCGGGUACUCGAGUGGCGAACGGGUGAGUAACACGUGAGUGAUCUGCCCCCAACUUGGGUAUAAGCCUGGGAAACUGGGUCUAAUUCCCGAUAGGACUGCAGGGUGGUGCCUGUGGUGGAAAACGAUUUUCUAGUGGUUGGGGAUGAGCUUGCGGCCUAUCAGCUUGUUGGUGGGGUAAUGGCCUACCAAGGCGGCGACGGGUAGCCGGCCUGAGAGGGUGGACGGCCACAUUGGGACUGAGAUACGGCCCAGACUCCUACGGGAGGCAGCAGUGGGGAAUAUUGCACAAUGGGCGGAAGCCUGAUGCAGCGACGCCGCGUGGGGGAUGACGGCCUUCGGGUUGUAAACUCCUUUCGACCGCGAGGAAGCCACCUGGUUGGAAGGGUGGUGACGGUAGUGGUAGAAGAAGCACCGGCUAACUACGUG